UACGGGGGGGGCAAGCGUUGUUCGGAAUUACUGGGCGUAAAGGGCUCGUAGGCGGCCAACUAAGUCAGACGUGAAAUCCCUCGGCUUAACCGGGGAACUGCGUCUGAUACUGGAUGGCUUGAGUUUGGGAGAGGGAUGCGGAAUUCCAGGUGUAGCGGUGAAAUUCGUAGAUAUCAGGAGGAACACCGGUGGCGAAGGCGGCUUUCUGGACACUUACUGACGCUGAGACGCGAAAGCGUGGGGAGCAAACAGG
rnacentral:rRNA from 1 species